CAGCCGCCACGGUAAUACGAGGGGGGCAAGCGUUGUUCGGAAUUAUUGGGCGUAAAGGGUGCGUAGGCGGUCUGAUAAGUCAUCUGUGAAAUCUCUGGGCUCAACCCAGAGUCUGCAGGCGAAACUGUCGGGCUUGAGUAUGGGAGAGGUGAGUGGAAUUUCCGGUGUAGCGGUGAAAUGCGUAGAUAUCGGAAGGAACACCUGUGGCGAAAGCGGCUCACUGGACAAUAACUGACGCUGAUGCACGAAAGCUAGGGGAGCAAACAGGAUUAGAUACCCGGGUAGUCCCUGUCUCUUAUAC
rnacentral:rRNA from 1 species